rnacentral:rRNA from 1 species
GAUGAACGCUGGCGGCGUGCUUAACACAUGCAAGUCGAACGGUGAAGGCGGAGCUUGCUCUGCUGGAUCAGUGGCGAACGGGUGAGUAACACGUGAGCAAUCUGCCCCUGACUCUGGGAUAAGCGCUGGAAACGGCGUCUAAUACUGGAUACGAGCUGCGAAGGCAUCUUCAGCAGCUGGAAAGAAUUUCGGUCAGGGAUGAGCUCGCGGCCUAUCAGCUUGUUGGUGAGGUAAUGGCUCACCAAGGCGUCGACGGGUAGCCGGCCUGAGAGGGUGACCGGCCACACUGGGACUGAGACACGGCCCAGGCUCCUACGGGAGGCAGCAGUGGGGAAUAUUGCACAAUGGGCGAAAGCCUGAUGCAGCAACGCCGCGUGAGGGACGACGGCCUUCGGGUUGUAAACCUCUUUUAGCAGGGAAGAAGCGAAAGUGACGGUACCUGCAGAAAAGCGCCGGCUAACUACGUG